rnacentral:rRNA from 1 species
UAGGGAAUCUUCCACAAUGGGCGCAAGCCUGAUGGAGCAACACCGCGUGAGUGAAGAAGGGUUUCGGCUCGUAAAGCUCUGUUGUUAAAGAAGAACACGUGUGAGAGUAACUGUUCAUUCGAUGACGGUAUCUAACCAGCAAGUCACGGCUAACUACGCGCCAG